GUGGGGAAUCUUCCGCAAUGGACGAAAGUCUGACGGAGCAACGCCGCGUGAGUGAAGAAGGUUUUCGGAUCGUAAAGCUCUUUCGUUAGGGACGAACGUGCUCUUUGUGAAUAAUGAGGAGUAAUGACGGUACCUAAAUAAGAAGCCACGGCUAACUACGUGCCAGCAGCCGCGGUAAUACGUAGGUGGCAAGCGUUGUCCGGAAUUAUUGGGCGUAAAGCGCGCGCAGGCGGGAUAUCAAGUCUGUCUUAAAAGUGCGAGGCUCAACCUCGUGAGGGGACAGAAACUGGUAUUCUUGAGUGUCGGAGAGGAAAGUGGAAUUCCAAGUGUAGCGGUGAAAUGCGUAGAGAUUUGGAAGAACACCAGUGGCGAAGGCGACUUUCUGGACGAUGUCUGACGCUGAGGCGCGAAAGCUAGGGGAGCGAACGGGAUUAGAAACCCGAGUACC
rnacentral:rRNA from 1 species